GACGUAGGGCGCGAGCGUUGUCCGGAUUUAUUGGGCGUAAAGAGCUCGUAGGCGGCUUGUUGCGUCGACCGUGAAAACCCGGGGCUCAACUUCGGGCUUGCGGUCGAUACGGGCGGGCUAGAGUUCGGUAGGGGAGACUGGAAUUCCUGGUGUAGCGGUGAAAUGCGCAGAUAUCAGGAGGAACACCGGUGGCGAAGGCGGGUCUCUGGGCCGAUACUGACGCUGAGGAGCGAAAGCGUGGGGAGCGAAC
rnacentral:rRNA from 1 species